rnacentral:rRNA from 1 species
GAUGAACGCUGGCGGCGUGCCUAAUACAUGCAAGUCGAGCGAAUGGAUUAAGAGCUUGCUCUUAUGAAGUUAGCGGCGGACGGGUGAGUAACACGUGGGUAACCUGCCCAUAAGACUGGGAUAACUCCGGGAAACCGGGGCUAAUCCCGGAUAACAUUUUGAACCGCAUGGUUCGAAAUUGAAAGGCGGCUUCGGCUGUCACUUAUGGAUGGACCCGCGUCGCAUUAGCUAGUUGGUGAGGUAACGGCUCACCAAGGCAACGAUGCGUAGCCGACCUGAGAGGGUGAUCGGCCACACUGGGACUGAGACACGGCCCAGACUCCUACGGGAGGCAGCAGUAGGGAAUCUUCCGCAAUGGACGAAAGUCUGACGGAGCAACGCCGCGUGAGUGAUGAAGGCUUUCGGGUCGUAAAACUCUGUUAUUAGGGAAGAACAAGUGCUAGUUGAAUAAGCUGGCACCUUGACGGUACCUAACCAGAAAGCCACGGCUAACUACGUGCCAGCCGCCGCGGUAA